CCACCAGUUUCGUCCCCCUUCCAAGCCCCUCGCCGGCGAAAACUGGUGUUGUACGGUUGCGCCGCUGUGGCCGGCACAAUUCCGGCGGAAAUGGCGGUUUCGCGUCUCGCUGGAGCAGAAGUGCGAGCAGAGGGAAUUCGCUCCGACGCCGGUUCAACCCCUGAGGCAUCCGCUCGCGAUUCUCGCUCUCGUCCCCAAGGACGCCGCCAUCUUCGCCGCCGGAGCCAUCGCCGGAGCCGCCCGCGAAGACUGUCAUGACUCAUCGCUCCACUCGACCGCAUCAAGAUUCUCAUGCAGUCUCAUGGGGUACGAGUUGGAUAUCAGAGCGGGACGAAGGCAAUUGGUUUUAUAGAGAAAUUAUUCAAAGGGAAAAACGGCGAGCUCUGAGUAAUCGGAAGACUUGCAGCAGGUUCUUGUGCUGGCAUGACAUCUACUUUCAUAACGUAUCCAUUAGAUGUCUUGAGAUUAAGGUUGGCAGUUGAACCUGGGUACUGAACCAUGACUCAGGUUGCUUUGAAUAUGCUCCGUGAAGAAGGAAUUGCAUCCUUCUAUCAUGGCCUCGGACCAUCUCUUGUGGGGAUAGCUCCGUACAUCGCUGUCAACUUCUGCAUUUUCGAUCUGUGAGCCCGCUUUUGUAUUCUCUCCCGUGUUUUUUGAUGCACCCGAAAAAGAGAGGAGAGAAACUAGAGCGGGAACUGACGUCUGAUGAAAAAACAGAGUGAAGAAGUAUUUACCAGAGAAAUACAGAGAAAAGGCACAGUCAUCGAGCUCGAGGUUGAAAAGGAAAAGGCACCAUCAAAAUCUCCCUAGAGGCAGAAGGAGUUAGUCGUGAGCAUUCAUCAAGCGCUCUUGUUUUGUUUUGUGUAUGUGUGUUUUAGGAAAAGUUUUGGUAGAAGUGAGCUGUUGCUGUGUUGGAUUAGAUGCAAACCAAAUGGGUAGAAAUUUUGUUAGCCUAAAUCCCUUUCCACAAACCUAAAGGCUUCUGAAACCGUGAACCGUACAAAUUCACCCGUCAUUUCCACACACACGCUCAGUCUCCUUUUUUCCAUAUCUUCAUUCAACUUCCAUUUCCUAUACAAUGCUGUGUUACUGUGUGUCUUACGAACACGCACGCAACGCAACGAAUCACAUUUGCCCAAGCAAGAAACACUAAACCUCCAUUAUCAAAUAUAAGCUUACCCCUGACCUUCGUCGUAAUUACGGCGAUGCCAUUAGGUUUGGUUAAAGGCUUAAAGCUCCCUGUCUUUCCAAGCCCCCGGCCGCUCUCCAUCUCGGUUUCUCUUCUGCUUUUUUUUUUUUUUUGUUUUAAAUCUCACUGUCGAUUCUCAUCUAUCAUACGCUUUCUGGUCUCAACCUCUUAAGUCUCCGCCGCCGCCUACUCUCUCUCUCGAUCUCUCUCAGCCUCCCCCGUCUCUCUCUCGCGAUCUCAGGGUCGAAAAGGAUCAGUUUCUCCGCCCCUUUGACCUAAUGUUUGUAAAAGUAGCCUGAGUUCUGACUCUGUCUUUGGAAGGAAGCUAAGAUGACGCCAAUGGUCCGGAGAAUGGCUGCUUUCGCAUUUGCUUCUGCCUCAGGUUUAGUUCAGAUUCAUCCCCUGGGGAGAGGUACUCUGAACAAUUUCUCACAUUGUUCCUCUGUUUUAAGUUGUCCGAGAUCGGCUUUUUCCGGUAUUAGAUAUUGCAGUGUAUCUUACCGAGACAGAUUGAGAUGUGGGUUUCAUGAUUGCCAUGCCGAGGAUGCCAUUGAUUUGUUCGAUCAGAUGGUGGAGUCUCGUCCCUUACCGUCCAUCGUUGAUUUCACUAAACUAUUGAGUGCGGUCAUGAAAAUGAAACGGUAUGAUGUUGUGAUUUCCCUCUGCGAGAGAAUGGAAUUGCUUGGGGUUUCACAUAAUAUCUAUUCGUACAAUGUUAUGAUCAACUGUUGCCGCUCUCAUCAAGUGGUUUAGGGCUUAUCUGUUGUGGGAAAAAUAUUGACACUCGGUUACGAACCUGAUGUAGUCACCUACACUACCAUAGCUCAUGGGUUCUGUAUCCAGGGCAAGAUUUCCGUGGUGUUUAGCUUGGUUGACCAAAUGGUGAAAGAAUGAUACAAACCUAAUGUUGUAACAUUUAACACUUUGGUCAACGGAUUUUGCUUUGAGAGUAGAGUUUAUGAAACAUUGAGUUUACUUGACCAAGUGCUAAAGAUGGAUUGUCGACCCCAUAGAGUUUCAUUCGGCAUUGUUAUAAAUGGGGUCUGCAAGGCGGGGAUUUUGCGUUGGCCAUGAAUCUGCUCAUGAAGAUGGAGGAAAUGCGUACUGAGAUCGAUGUCAUAAUUUCUAAUACAAUUAUUGAUUUUCUUUGCAAAGCUGGACACAUGGAUGAUGCACUGAACCUUUUCGAAGUGAUGGGUAAUGUCGGCAUUGUACCAAAUGUUGUUACAUACACCUCUUUGGUUAACGACCUUUCCAGAUUUGGUAGAUGAGACGAUGUUGCCCGAUUGUUGAGUGAGAUGGUGAAAAAGGAAAAUCACCCGUGGUGUUGUCACGUUCAAUGGAUUAAUCGAUGCACUCCUUAAAAAGGAAAGGUUUCUGGAGGCUAAAGAUUGUACGAGGAGAUGAUCCGAAGAGGUUUAGUUCCAGAUACUAUUAUUUAUACUUCAUUGAUCAAUGGUUUUUGCCUGCAGAACCGUCGUGCCAGGGCAGAACAAAUGUUCAAUUAUAUGACCACCAAGGGAUGUUUUCCUAAUACCGUGACUUUUGAUUCUAUGAUAAAUGGUUACUGCAAGGCUAAUAGGUUCGAUAAGGGUAUGAAUCGCUUUUAUGAGAUAUCUCGAAGAGGAUUGGAUGUCGAUUCAUUUACUUACAACAUCCUCAUCCAAGGGUUUUAUUGAGUAGGCAACCUUGAUGCUGGCCAAAAGUUUUUCCGGGAGAUGCAUUAUAAGGGUCAUCAUCAUAAUCUUAUAACUUACAACAUUUUGCUUGAUGGUCUUUGUAAGAACGGAAAAACGGACAAGGCACUUGGUCUAUAUAAUAAGCUGCAAAAGAGUGGGAUUGACCUCCAUAUAUCUUUCCAUAAUGUCAUGAUGCAUGGUUUGUGCAAGGUUGAGAGAGUUGACGAGGCAUUUGUAUUAUUUGAUAGGCUUCUUAAGAAAGGGGUGAAACCGAAUGUUAUCACGUAUAAUAUAAUGAUCUCCGGACUUUGCGGAAAAGGUUCACUCUAUGAAGUCGAAAAGGUAAUUGGGAAGAUGAAAGAAGAUGGUUGUUUUCCUGAAGGUGGUACAUGUAACGCAUUGAUCAGGGGUCGUCUCAGAAGUGGCUCUCCAUCGAUGGUUAUCGAGCUGAUACAAGAAAUGCAGAACAAUGGGUUUUCUAUGCAUGCAUCGUCCUCAACUACGAUAACAUAUAUGGUAUCUGAAGGCAGGUUGCAAAAGGGGUUUUUGGAUCUCCUCUCUUAAGUUUGUAAGUACUAAAAAAUUACAUGGAUGUUUGUUUGAGUGUGUAUAUAUAAUCGAGAUCUCCUUUGAUGCCAUCUGUUUAACGUGUUUGAGUGUCAUGACUACAUUACAUUUAUUCCGACUUUGAUACUUGUAAUGUUUUUUUCCUGAACAUAUUAGGUUCUGGUGAAUGAGAAGAUUUAUGGGAUGA